UAAUACAUGCAAGUCGAACGAACCAUCCUGAAGAUUGAAGCUUGCUUCAUGAUUCAGACCUUGGUGAGUGGCGGACGGGUGAGUAACACGUGGGUAACCUGCCCAAAAGUGGGGGAUAACAUCUGGAAACAGGUGCUAAUACCGCAUAACAACUACUUUCUCAUGAUCGUAGCUUGAAAGAUGGCUCUGCUAUCGCUUUUGGAUGGACCCGCGGCGUAUUAGCUAGUUGGUGAGGUAAUAGCUCACCAAGGCAAUGAUACGUAGCCGACCUGAGAGGGUAAUCGGCCACAUUGGGACUGAGACACGGCCCAAACUCCUACGGGAGGCAGCAGUAGGGAAUCUUCCACAAUGGGCGAAAGCCUGAUGGAGCAAUGCCGCGUGAGUGAAGAAGGUUUUCGGAUCGUAAAACUCUGUUGUUGAAGAAGAACAUGCGUGAGAGUAACUGUUCACGUACUGACGGUAUUCAACCAGAAAGCCACGGCUAACUACGUGCCAGCAGCCGCGGUAAUACGUAGGUGGCAAGCGUUGUCCGGAUUUAUUGGGCGUAAAGAGAAUGUAGGCGGUUUAUUAAGUUUGAAGUGAAAGCCCUCGGCUCAACCGAGGAAGUGCUUCGAAAACUGGUAAACUUGAGUGCAGAAGAGGAAAGUGGAACUCCAUGUGUAGCGGUGGAAUGCGUAGAUAUAUGGAAGAACACCAGUGGCGAAGGCGGCUUUCUGGUCUGUAACUGACGCUGAGAUUC
rnacentral:rRNA from 1 species